CCUACGGGGGGCUGCAGUGGGGAAUAUUGGGCAAUGGGCGCAAGCCUGACCCAGCAACGCCGCGUGAAGGAAGAAGGCUUUCGGGUUGUAAACUUCUUUUCUCAGGGACGAAGCAAGUGACGGUACCUGAGGAAUAAGCCACGGCUAACUACGUGCAAGCAGCCGCGGUAAUACGUAGGGGGCAAGCGUUCUCCGGAUUUACUGGGUGUAAAGGGCGUGUAGGCGGGACUGCAAGUCAGAUGUGAAAACCACGGGCUCAACCUGUGGCCUGCAUUUGAAACUGUAGUUCUUGAGUACUGGAGAGGCAGACGGAAUGCCUAGUGUAGCGGUGAAAUGCGGAGAUAUUAGGAGGAACACCAGUGGCGAAGGCGGUCUGCUGGACAGCAACUGACGCGGAGGCGCGAAAGCGUGGGGAGCAAACAGGAUUAGAUACCCGGGUAGUC
rnacentral:rRNA from 1 species